GAUAGUUUAGUUUAUUUAAAACAGAUGUUUUGAAAACAUCAAUAAGGACACUAAAACGUCUUAACUAUUG
rnacentral:tRNA from 1 species